rnacentral:rRNA from 1 species
GCAUUGGCGGCAGGCCUACACAUGCAGUCGAGCGGUAACAGAUCCAGCUUGCUGGAUGCUGACGAGCGGCGGACGGGUGAGUAAUGCAUAGGAAUUUACCCGAUAGUGGGGGAUAACCUGGGGAAACCCAGGCUAAUACCGCAUACGUCCUACGGGAGAAAGGGGGCCUUGGCUCCCGCUAUCGGAUGAGCCUAUGCCGGAUUAGCUGGUUGGUGAGGUAAUGGCUCACCAAGGCGACGAUCCGUAGCUGGUCUGAGAGGAUGAUCAGCCACAUCGGGACUGAGACACGGCCCGAACUCCUACGGGAGGCAGCAGUGGGGAAUAUUGGACAAUGGGCGCAAGCCUGAUCCAGCCAUGCCGCGUGUGUGAAGAAGGCCCUCGGGUUGUAAAGCACUUUCAGCGAGGAAGAACGCCUGGCGGUUAAUACCCGCCAGGAAAGACAUCACUCGCAGAAGAAGCACCGGCUAACUCCGUGCCAGCAGCCGCGGUAAUACGGAGGGUGCAAGCGUUAAUCGGAAUUACUGGGCGUAAAGCGCGCGUAGGUGGCUUGAUAAGCCGGUUGUGAAAGCCCCGGGCUCAACCUGGGAACGGCAUCCGGAACUGUCAGGCUAGAGUGCAGGAGAGGAAGGUAGAAUUCCCGGUGUAGCGGUGAAAUGCGUAGAGAUCGGGAGGAAUACCAGUGGCGAAGGCGGCCUUCUGGACUGACACUGACACUGAGGUGCGAAAGCGUGGGUAGCAAACAGGAUUAGAUACCCUGGUAGUCCACGCCGUAAACGAUGUCGACCAGCCGUUGGGUGCCUAGCGCACUUUGUGGCGAAGUUAACGCGAUAAGUCGACCGCCUGGGGAGUACGGCCGCAAGGUUAAAACUCAAAUGAAUUGACGGGGGCCCGCACAAGCGGUGGAGCAUGUGGUUUAUUCGAUGCAACGCGAAGAACCUUACCUACUUCUUGACAUCCUGCGAUCUUGGUGAGAAGAUUACUUAGGUGCCUUCCGGGAACGCAGAGACAGGUGCUGCAUGGCUGUCGUCAGCUCUGUGUGAAAUUGUUGGGUUAAGUCCCGUACGAGCGCCAACUCUGGUCCUUAUUUGCAGCACGUCAUGGUGGGACUUCUUAGGAGACUGGCGGGUGAACAACGAGGAAGUGGGACGACGUCAAGUCAUCAUGGCCUUACGAUAGGCUACUACGUGCUUCAAUUGUCGGUACAUGGCUGCCACUCGGAGUGACGAUCCUUUACGCGUCUAAUCCGGUUCCGUGAUCUGUCAACUUCAGCAUCUG